rnacentral:rRNA from 1 species
UCUGGGCUCGAGCCUGCCUGGAGCCGCCGCCGGUGCAGAUCUUGGUGGUAGUAGCAAAUACUCCAGCGAGGCCCUGGAGGACUGAUGUGGAGAAGGGUUUCGUGUGAACAGCCGUUGCACACGAGUCAGUCGAUCCUAAGCCCUAGGAGAAAUCCGACGCCUACGGCGACGGGAUUUUUGAAAAUGAUUAUGAACCCGUUGAUCGGGCGAAAGGGAAUCCGGUUCCUAUUCCGGAACCCGGCAGCGGAACCGCUGUUUGUCGGGCCCUCACAAGGGGUUCGUCAGGGUAACCUAAAAGGGCCCGGAGACGCCGUCGGGAGCCCCGGAAAGAGUUUUCUUUUCUGCAUGAGCGUUCGAGUUCCCUGGAAUCCUCUCGCAGGGAGAUAGGGUUUGGAACGCGAAGAGCACCGCAGUUGCGGCGGUGCCCGGGAAUUCCCGACGGACCUUGAAAAUCCGGGAGAGGGCCACGUGGAGGUGUCGCGCCGGCUCGUACCCAUAUCCGCAGCAGGUCUCCAAGGUGAAGAGCCUCUAGUCGAUAGAAUAAUGUAGGUAAGGGAAGUCGGCAAAUCGGAUCCGUAACUUCGGG